rnacentral:rRNA from 1 species
GACGAACGCUGGCGGCGUGCUUAACACAUGCAAGUCGAACGGUAAGGCCCUUCGGGGUACACGAGUGGCGAACGGGUGAGUAACACGUGGGUGAUCUGCCCUGCACUUCGGGAUAAGCCUGGGAAACUGGGUCUAAUACCGGAUAGGACCACUGCCUGCAUGGGCGGUGGUGGAAAGCUUUUGCGGUGUGGGAUGGGCCCGCGGCCUAUGAGCUUGUUGGUGGGGUGAUGGCCUACCAAGGCGACGACGGGUAGCCGGCCUGAGGGGGUGACCGGCCACACUGGGACUGAGAUACGGCCCAGACUCCUACGGGAGGCAGCAGUGGGGAAUAUUGCACAAUGGGCGCAAGCCUGAUGCAGCGACGCCGCGUGAGGGAUGACGGCCUUCGGGUUGUAAACCUCUUUCAGCACCGACGAAGCGCAAGUGACGGUAGGUGCAGAAGAAGGACCGGCCAACUACGUGCCAGCCGCCGCAGUAA